UACGUAGGGGGCAAGCGUUGUCCGGAAUCAUUGGGCGUAAAGAGCGUGUAGGCGGCUCGGUAAGUCCGCUGUAAAAGUCCAGGGCUCAACCCUGGAAAGCCGGUGGAAACUGUCGAGCUAGAGUUCGGAAGAGGCGAGUGGAAUUCCUGGUGUAGCGGUGAAAUGCGCAGAUAUCAGGAGGAACACCAAUGGCGAAGGCAGCUCGCUGGGACGGUACUGACGCUGAGACGCGAAAGCGUGGGGAGCAAACAGG
rnacentral:rRNA from 1 species